CAGAGGGUGCAAGCGUUGUUCGGAAUUACUGGGCGUAAAGCGCGCGCAGGCGGUCCUUUUAAGUCUACCCGUGAAAUGCCGGAGCUCAACUCCGUGCACGCCGGGGGAUACUGGAGGACUGGAGACGAGUAGAGGCAAGCGGAAUUCCGGGUGUAGCGGUGGAAUGCGUAGAGAUCCGGAAGAACACCGGAGGCGAAGGCGGCUUGCUGGGCUUGGUCUGACGCUGAGGCGCGAAAGCGUGGGAGCGAACAGGAUU
rnacentral:rRNA from 1 species